CAUGUACCGGUGGGGUCCCUUGGCCUGGCCUGCACCCUCUCACAAUUCAGGACCCCUUGGGGGAUGUCAGACAGCCAAUUUUGGCCCGAUCCCUGCAGGCCAGGCCAAGGGACCCCAUCGGUGCACU
rfam:Myotis davidii contig52283, whole genome shotgun sequence.